GACGAACGCUGGCGGCGUGCUUAAUACAUGCAAGUCGAACGAACAGGCCAUGAUUUUGUUGCGCUGAUGUGAGGCGCAGGCGGGUGUAUCACGUGUGGAUAAUGUACCUAUAUUACUGAUAUAAUUUCGAAAAUCGGGAUAUAAUACGGUAUGAGAUCUUGAACCGCGGGGUGGAUAGGAGAGUGACGGUCGUUCGGGCAGGUAUAGCGGUAUACGCGCUGGAUUAGCUAGUUGGUGAGGUAACAGCUUACCAAGGCAACGAUGCAUAGACGACUGGACAGGGUGAUAGGCCACCCUGGAACUGGGCCACGGACCAGACUCCUACGGGACGCCGCAGUAGCGAAUGUUACGCAAUGGGCGAAAGCCUGACGGAGCAACGCCGAGUGAGUGAUGACGGCCUUCGGAUCGUAAAACUCUGUUAUUAGGGAAGAACAUCUGUGUACGUAACUGUACCCAUCUUGACGGUACCUAAUCAGAAAGCAACGGCUAACUACGUG
rnacentral:rRNA from 1 species